rnacentral:rRNA from 1 species
CUGCAUGGCUGUCGUCAGCUCGUGCUGUGAAGUGUUGGUUAAGUCCGCAACGAGCGCAACCCUGCUGCCUGUUGCCACCGACGGAGAGGUGGGACGUCAGGCGGGACCGCCGGUGACAAACCGGAGGAAGGUGGGGACGACGUCAAGUCAUCAUGGCCCUUACGGCCUGGGCUACACACGUGCUACAAUGGUCGGUACAAAGGGUUGCCAAGCCGCGAGGUGGAGCUAAUCCCAUAAAACCGAUCGUAGUCCGGAUCGCAGUCUGCAACUCGACUGCGUGAAGUCGGAAUCGCUAGUAAUCGUGAAUCAGAAUGUCACGGUGAAUACGUUCCCGGGCCUU